AUUGAACGCUGGCGGCAGGCCUAACACAUGCAAGUCGAACGAGUGGCGGACGGGUGAGUAAUGUCUGGGAAACUGCCCGAUGGAGGGGGAUAACUACUGGAAACGGUAGCUAAUACCGCAUACCAUCGGAUGUGCCCAGAUGGGAUUAGCUAGUAGGUGGGGUAAUGGCUCACCUAGGCGACGAUCCCUAGCUGGUCUGAGAGGAUGACCCGCCACCCUGGACCUGUGACACGUUCCAGACUCCUACGGGAGCCAGCGGUGGUGAAUAUUGCUCAAUUGGCGCAAGCCUGAUGCAGCCAGGCCGCGUGUAUGAAGAAGGCCUUCGUGUUGUAAAGUACUUUCAGCGGGGAGGCGUUACCCGCAGAAUAAGCACCUGCUAACUCCGUGCCAGCAGCCGCGGUAAUUC
rnacentral:rRNA from 1 species